GUCCACGCCCUAAACGAUGUCAACUAGGUGUUGGGGAGGAGACUUCCUUAGUACCGCAGCUAACGCGUGAAGUUGACCGCCUGGGGAGUACGGCCGCAAGGUUGAAACUCAAAGGAAUUGAAGUGGACCCGCACAAGCGGUGGAUUAUGUGGAUUAAUUCGAUGCAACGCGAAAACCUUACCUACCCUUGACAUGCCAGGAACUUUCCAGAGAUGGAUUGGUGCCCGAAAGGGAGCCUGGACACAGGUGCUGCAUGGCUGUCGU
rnacentral:rRNA from 1 species